UGAUCAUAUAGUUCUGAAACACCCUGUAGAUUUCAUGUUCUUAAGUAAGCUCUAAAGUAUAAGUAGAAUCUGAGGUGCUGGCAUGAAUCAGAAGUUUACAUAAGGAUCCUGUGAUCUUGUCAGCUUUAUUAGAAGCCAAAGAACUUAGAAAUACCAAUGAGGCAUCUUGGAUUAGAAUAUCCAAAUUUCUCGAAGGAAAUUCUAACAGAAGCUGAUAUUUGUUAGCAUUAAUGAGAUCCUGAAAGCUACUAACAGGGCCAGAGGUUCACUUAAGAAUCUUGAUGGAUUUCUUAAGAGUUGAUUACUUCGCCAAGAGUAAUCAAAAGCCAACGAACUUACAAAUGUCAAUGGGUCACGUUGGUUUCACGACAGUAGACUAGGUAGUCGCUUACCUUGUCGUCAGAUAGUUUUUGUAGGCGGUCAGAUAAGUGUCGAGGGCUUUUGUCAGUCAAAGUAAAUGAUCGAGUUAGGUAGCAUCCUGAACCUAUUUGUUGUCCAUGAGCUUAAACGGAUCUACUUUAAUCGAGUAAGCUUAUCUUAUUUUUCUCUUAAUAAAAUGAAGAUUUUUUUUGCAGAAGAUACAUAAUUUCAAUUUUUUACUCAAAAACAUUGCAUCGUACAAAAAAAAGGCGAUGAAUAAAAUGCUACGAUUUGAAUAAGAUUUUUUAGAAGUAAUUUUUGUUUUUAUAAUAACAAUGCCGUAUGGACACCACUGUUAAAAACAAUUAACAUAAUUUUA